rnacentral:rRNA from 1 species
UGGGAAUUUUGGACAAUGGGCGCAAGCCUGAUCCAGCCAUGCCGCGUGCGGGAAGAAGGCCUUCGGGUUGUAAACCGCUUUUGUCAGGGAAGAAAUCUUCUGAGUUAAUACCUCGGGAGGAUGACGGUACCUGAAGAAUAAGCACCGGCUAACUACGUGCCAGCAGCCGCGGUAAUACGUAGGGUGCAAGCGUUAAUCGGAAUUACUGGGCGUAAAGCGUGCGCAGGCGGUUUUGUAAGACAGAGGUGAAAUCCCCGGGCUCAACCUGGGAACUGCCUUUGUGACUGCAAGGCUUGAGUGCGGCAGAGGGGGGAUGGAAUUCCGCGUGUAGCAGUGAAAUGCGUAGAUAUGCGGAGGAACACCGAUGGCGAAGGCAAUCCCCUGGGCCUGCACUGACGCUCCAUGCACGAAAGCGUGGGGAGCAAACAGGAUUAGAUAGCCCUGGUAGUCCACGCCCUAAACGAUGUCAACUGGUUGUUGGGAAGGUUCCUUCUCAGUAACGUAGCUAACGCGUGAAGUUGACCGCCUGGGGAGUACGGCCGCAAGGUUGAAACUCAAAUGAAUUGACGGGGUCAUAGC